rnacentral:rRNA from 1 species
UUGACCUCAAAUCAGGUAGGACUACCCGCUGAACUUAAGCAUAUCAAUAAGCGGAGGAAAAGAAACUAACAAGGAUUCCCCUAGUAACUGCGAGUGAAGCGGGAAAAGCUCAAAUUUAAAAUCUGGCAGUCUCUGGCUGUCCGAGU